rnacentral:tRNA from 1 species
GGGGCUGUAACUCAGUCUGGUCAGAGUACUUCGUUGACAUCGAAGAAGUCGCUGGUUCGAGCCCAGUCAGCCCCA